rnacentral:lncRNA from 1 species
GUGGUGCUGUCUCCUGAGGACAAGGCUAACACCAAGGCGGUCUGGGAGAAAGUUGGCAACCACACUGCUGGCUAUGCCACGGAGGCCCUGGAGAGCACUUGGCCCUGAGUUAUGGCUCAGCCCAGAUCAAGAAACAAUGCAAGUAGGUGGCCGACACGCUGACCAAUGCCGUGGUCCACUUAGAUGACAUGCCCAAUGAUGUGUCUGAGCUGAGGAAGCUGCAUGUCCACGAGCUGUGGGUGGACCCAGGCAACAUCAGGCUGGGUAAAUGCCUGCUGGUGACCUAGGCCUGCCACACCCUUCCCAGUUUACCCAUGUGGUGCCUCCAUGGACAAAUUAUUUGCUUUUGUGAGUGCUGUGUUGACCUAAAAA